rnacentral:rRNA from 1 species
CCUACGGGCGGCAGCAGUGGGGAAUAUUGCACAAUGGGGGAAACCCUGAUGCAGCGACGCCGCGUGAGUGAAGAAGUAUUUCGGUAUGUAAAGCUCUAUCAGCAGGAACGAGACAAGACGGUACCGGACUAAGAAGCCCCGGCUAACUACGUGCCAGCAGCCGCGGUAAUACGGAGGGGGCAAGCGUUAACCGGAAUCACUGGGUUUAAAGGGAGCGUAGACGGCUGUGCAAGCCUGAAGUGAAAGGCGGGGUCCCAACCCCUGGACUGCUUUGGGAACUGUACGGCUGGAGUGCAGGAGAGGUAAGUGGAAUUCCUAGUGUAGCGGUGAAAUGCGUAGAUAUUAGGCGGAACACCAGUGGCGAAGGCGGCUUACUGGACUGUAACUGACGUUGAGGCUCGAAAGCGUGGGGAGCAAACAGGAUUAGAUACCCUUGUAGUC